UGUGUGUGUGUGUAUGUGCCGUGAUGGUGGAAGAGCACUCAAGUAUAUAAAUAAAAUAGAAUGAAUACCUGUGGCCCAUCAUAAAACACGAAAUCUGAAAUAUGUUUUCAUGUUUAUAAUUUGCAGUGUCCUUUAAAUAAUCUAGUUCCCAUAACUCAGCCCGUAUUGUUUAAUUUAGAAAUAAAACCUCACAGAUGCCCUUGCAUCUGAAUCACUUUAUCUUAUGGGCAGGUGGCUGCAGAGGCUUCUCCCCAUGCUCAUAUUGUAGCGUUCGGAGGCCGUAGUUUAAGUAAUGAGGCCCAUUUGCACUUUAUUGUUCAAAGGGACUUGUUGCCUAACAUUGCGUAUAAUUUCCUUUCAAACAUGUGGAAAUCAGGACACCACAGGACAGUUCUCUUUGGUCAUUAAGUGUUUUUGCUUUUGUCUCAGCGAGAGGGACAAAACACCCCUUCUGCAUUUGUACAGAUUGCGAACUCCUUGAGGCAGAGACAUCAUCUUAUACAGCUAAUCGAUUUGAGUAAUCAAUGCUCAAAGCAGGAAGGUCAAGGCAAGAAUUUAUCUAUUUUCCAAGUCAACAUGGAAUGUACCAUGCCUGUUACAGGCAGGGAGGCAGCCCAUCUUAUCUGCAAACUACCAGGGCUAUCUACAAUAGCAAGAGAGGUUUGUAGCAAAAGUCUUCCUGUGAAGCAAGACUUCUGGUUAGUGACUCAACCCAAACUAAGCAGCGCGAAUGUUUGCCAGCUCCAGUCUCCACCUCAACCCCCAAAUAAAGAUGCCUUGAAGGAAACCAGAUAAAACUAGAAAACGGAGACACUGACUGUCAACUAAAAAAAUUAAACCAGCUUGCAACAGCAGCAUGAAUGAAGGAUGAUACACUCAACAGUGAAUCUCCACACCCUUCUCAGUAAAUGUGGUGUGACUCUUCAAAGACCGAAAACAAAUAUGAGUGGGAUGCUGCCUUUGCCAUUUCAGUUUUCCAAAGCCUUAUUGAUUAUUUAAAGCCAUUUGAGGGCCUUGGGGCAUAAACAUGGAUGUGCCCGAUGCUUCAAAGGUGCCUCUCCUGCUUUCUGCAUAGAUGGCUCUCGGCUAGCAUUCAGCUCCCUGGGCGCCUGUCAGCACACAGCAUCUGAAACAGGAACUGCAGCAGCAUCAGGCCCGGCCUACCACUGCCAGGAAACAGGCUCCAAAGGGAUCUCCAAGGGCUGGUGGGCUAGUGUCCUAGGCAUUGCCUGCUGCUGUGCCUCAGGAGGGGUCACCCAGCUUCCAGCUGGGGACACCCAGAGGAGUAUAACUCUCCUGAGGUGUUGGACACCAUCACGGUCAGAAUGUUUGCCUGAAUGUGCCCACCCCUGGAGCUGAGAGGGAGGGAGGCGGCAUCCAAAGGAAGAUUAAGAGGAAUUUGUCAGUGGGAUGGCGAUGGGCGCUGGCCAGGCAAACCAACCCAUCUGCAGUACAGGUUACACACCCCUGGAGGCAGGGCGCCGUCUCGCACACGUUUUGCCUGCGAGGCUUCCUGCUGCAGUCGUAGGUAAGCGAUGUUGGCUAUGUUAUGGGGGGGACUCUGCCAAAUGUCCUGUAAGACUUUCAAAGGAGGUCUGGCUGCCCCUGAAGGACAGCCAUCUGGUGACAUGACAGCCACCACACCCUCCUGCCAUACUCGAUUUUCCCGUCUACCACCUUGAAUCUCCAGAAUCCCAGUGUCUUUUCCUCAUCCCUAUGGGAUGGCAUGGAAUAAAGGAAACCCAUAUCCACAGCAGGUGGUGGCCAGGGCGGCACAGACAAAGGCAGGGUCCGGAGGCUUUCUCCUUGUGCCGGGCUCUUUAAGCACAUGGCCCUGCGCACCCGCCUGGGAAUGUGGCGCCUCCUACUGGGGGUUCCAGGAGGGAGCCCUGCAUUGGGAAGGGGGCAGGCUAGGAAAGAAUUCCCCCAAGUCCGCGAUUCGAUGGCAUUCUUUUCUGUUUCUUGUAUGUGGGUCAUAGAUAGUGCUGCCAUUUCUUCCUUCUUGCAAAGAUGUCACAGGGCAGGAUUGUCUGGCGACGGUAUUUCAGGGAACUUCUGCUUCCUCUUGCAGCUUCCCCACAGGCAGAGAUGGACGGCGCUGGGCAAGGUGGGAUCUCUGGGGAACUCUUACUGGUGGAGAACUGAUUACUGGGAGCCUCCAGCAGCUCCCAGUCAGCCCAUUUGUUCCCAUAUUCCCAUUAUCUGGUUUCCCGCUGCACUGGCGGGUAAGCUUACAUGGCUGUGGUAGAGGGUGGUUCCAGGCCUGAGUCCGCCCCUCUGUCACUGGCUUCGAAGGAAGCUGUUCCUUUCUCAGGACCAUGCACCGGCAACGUUAGGAGUUAGGAAAAACUCAAACUUUCAAUACUGUGUUUAGUCUGUGUUGACACAACCCAGCCAACCAACCACCUUGACUAUCGAGUGACAUUAGUGCUCAGGGGCUCAGGGCCUGGCCGGUGUGGCUUAGUAGUUGAGCUUUGACCAAUGAACCACAUGCGGUCACGGUUAGAUUCUGGUCAGGGCACAUGCCUGGGUUUCCAGCUCAAUCCCCAGGAUCAAUGAUUCUCUCCCAUCUGUCCCUUCCUCUCUGAAA